rnacentral:rRNA from 1 species
GGCGCAAGGGUGAGUAACACGUAGGCAACCUGCCCUAAGGACGGGAAUAACUUCGAGAAAUCGAGGCUAAUACCCGAUAAUGCAGCGGUACCGCAUGGUAAUGUUGUUAAAUGUCGAAAGACGCCUUUGGAUGGGCCUGCGUCCCAUUAGGUAGUUGGUGAGGUAACGGCUCACCAAGCCGACGAUGGGUAGCUGGUCUGAGAGGACGAUCAGCCACACUGGAACUGAGACACGGUCCAGACUCCUACGGGAGGCAGCAGUGAGGAAUAUUGCACAAUGCCCGAAAGGGUGAUGCAGCGACGCCGCGUGAAGGAUGAAGGCCCUCUGGGUCGUAAACUUCUUUUGCAGAAGAAUAACAGGCUGCUACAGGCAGCUUUGAAUGUAUUCUGCGAAUAAGCAUCGGCUAACUACGUGCCAGCAGCCGCGGUAAUACGUAGGAUGCGAGCGUUGUCCGGAAUCACUGGGUGUAAAGGGAGCGCAGGCGGGUCGGUAAGUCAAUGGUGAAAUUUCCAGGCUCAACUUGGAGACUGCCACUGAUACUGCUGAUCUUGGGUCUAGAAGAGGUUGAUGGAAUUCC